rnacentral:rRNA from 1 species
AACGAACGCUGGCGGCAUGCCUAACACAUGCAAGUCGAACGAAGGCUUCGGCCUUAGUGGCGCACGGGUGCGUAACGCGUGGGAAUCUGCCCUUGGGUUCGGAAUAACAGUUAGAAAUGACUGCUAAUACCGGAUGAUGUCGUAAGACCAAAGAUUUAUCGCCCAGGGAUGAGCCCGCGUAAGAUUAGGUAGUUGGUGGGGUAAAGGCCUACCAAGCCGACGAUCUUUAGCUGGUCUGAGAGGAUGAUCAGCCACACUGGGACUGAGACACGGCCCAGACUCCUACGGGAGGCAGCAGUGGGGAAUAUUGGACAAUGGGCGAAAGCCUGAUCCAGCAAUGCCGCGUGAGUGAUGAAGGCCUUAGGGUUGUAAAGCUCUUUUACCAGGGAUAAUAAUGACAGUACCUGGAGAAUAAGCUCCGGCUAACUCCGUGCCAGCAGCCGCGGUAAU